UUAUUGGUAAAUGUGGUAGGCGAGAGUGAUAGACUUGGGCUGAGAUUUGUUACCAGUCAGUCUUUUUCUCUCUCCUAUUCUUUUUGCCAGU